rnacentral:rRNA from 1 species
CCUACGGGAGGCAGCAGUGGGGAAUAUUGGGCAAUGGACGCAACCCUGACCCAGCAACGCCGCGUGAAUGAUGAAGGUCUUCGGAUCGUAAAGUUCUGUGAUGGGGGAUGAACACAAUGACGGUACCCCAAUAGCAAGCCACGGCUAACUACGUGCCAGCAGCCGCGGUAAUACGUAGGUGGCAAGCGUUAUCCGGAAUGACUGGGCGUAAAGGGUGCGUAGGUGGGUUAGUAAGUUGGCGGUGUAAUUCCGGGGCUCAACCUCGGCGCUACCGCCGAAACUAUUAGACUAGAGUGCAGGAGAGGAAAGUGGAAUUCCUAGUGUAGCGGUGGAAUGCGUAGAUAUUAGGAGGAACAUCAGGGGCGAAGGCGACUUACUGGACUGUAACUGACACUGAGGCACGAAAGCGUGGGGAGCAAACAGGAUUAGAUACCCUGGUAGUC